rnacentral:lncRNA from 1 species
GUAUUUAAUAUAUUUAAAAUCUGGUUAUUGAUAAAGUUACAAAAUAAUACUUUAUAUAAAAGUAGUACUCUACAUUGAAUAAAUCUAAAUUCAUGAACUUGUGUUCCGCUAUCGACACUACUUCAGUUCUCUACUUCUGUUCCCAUUUUUCUUUAAUAGAUACAAAAAAUGAAUCAUUUCAUAUAAAAAAUACUGUUUUCUUUCAAAUUGCUUUGGCUUAACAAGCGUGUUCUACAUGUCAGUAUUAAGUUUUUUUUAUUAAUUUGAAUAAUUAUCCUUUUAUUAAACUAUAUAACUACAACUACAAAAAGUAGGAAUGUGCUUAAUUAUAAGAUAAUGAUUUAUGUUAAAUAAAAUGGCUUUGACUGAAGUUCACGGAAAAUGUCAACCCUAAAACCGACAUAUGAAGAUAACACACAAUACCAUCUAAUAUAUAUAAAUCAGUUGUUUAUAAACAUAUAUAACUGUACAGUUGUAAAUUUUUA